GUCAGCACCCCCGGCUGAAGCACGGGGGCUUCGUGCCCUCCCCUUCAGGUAGCUGACCAGCUUAAGCCUUAACGGGCUACGUUCAGAGCAAGAGUUAACGUUCCUACCCGUGAAUGCGUGCUAGUUCCCGGCUCUAGA
rnacentral:sRNA from 1 species